rnacentral:siRNA from 1 species
GGCGGUAGAUGAGAGAUUGAUUGA